GGGGUUAAAAUUAAUAAUUUAUAAUUAAUAAAAGUAGUUUUAGUAUUAAAAUAGGGGGUUUUAGUAUUAAUAAAGAAAAAAUUAUUAAUUUUAUAGUUAAUUAGUAUUGUAUAAGAAAUUUAAAAUAUAUUGAAAUUAAAUUUAUAUCAAAGUAAAUAUUAUUUAUUGUAUCUUGUGUAUCAGAGUUUAUUAAAUGAAAUUUUUAUAUAAAAAGUUUUCGAAUUUUAAAGAGUUAAUUGGUUAUUAAAGUUAUUGUUUCAUAAAUAUUUUAAAUAAUUAAUUAGAAAUGAAAUGUUAAUCGUUUUAAAAGAUAUCUAGUUUUUUUAGAAAAAAAUUUAAUUUUUAAUUUAUUUUAUAAAUUUAAUUAAUUAAUAAAUUGGUUUAAAAUGAAUUUUAAUAUUUUAAGGGAUAAGCUUUAAAUUAAAUUUUUAUAAUUAAUUUUAUUUAAAAUUAAAAUUUUUAAAAUUUAUAUUGUUUAUAAAGUUUAAUUUAUUAUAAAUAAUUUUAAUUAAAUAUAAAAUUUUAAAUUAAUUUAAUUUUUUAUAAAAAAAUAAUUUUUAAUUUUAUAAAUUUAGUUAUAAUGAUAAAAUUAGUAUUAAAUUUAAAAAUUUUAUUUAAUAUUUAAAAUUUAAAUAAAAGGAAUUCGGCAAAAUUUUAUAUUCACUUGUUUAUCAAAAACAUGUCUUUUUGUUAAUAAUUUAAAGUCUAAUCUGCCCACUGAUAAUUAUUAAAGGGCUGCAGUAUAUUGACUGUACAAAGGUAGCAUAAUAAAUAGUCUUUUAAUUGAUGACUUGUAUGAAAGAUUGGAUGAAAUAUAAACUGUCUCUUAUUUAUUAUAAAUGAAAUUAAUUUUUUGAUUAAAAAGUCAAAAUUUACUUAAAAGACGAGAAGACCCUAUAGAGUUUUAUAUUGAUUUAUAAUAAAAUUAUUUUUUAGAUUAUUAAUUAAAUUAUUUAUUAAUAUUUUAUUGGGGUGAUAGAAAAAUAAAAUUAACUUUUUUUUACUUUUAUUUCAUGAAUAGGUGAGUAAUUGAUCCAAAAAUUUUGAUUAUAAGAAAAAAUUACCUUAGGGAUAACAGCGUAAUUUUUUUUUUUAGUUCAAAUAAAAAAAAGAGUUUGCGACCUCGAUGUUGGAUUAAGAUAAAAUUUAUAUGCAAAAGUAUAAAAUUUUGAUCUGUUCGAUCAUUAAAAUCUUACAUGAUCUGAGUUCAAACCGGUGUAAGCCAGGUUGGUUUCUAUCUUUAAAAUGUGAAAAUAUUUUAGUACGAAAGGAAUAAAUAUUUAAAUUAAAUUUAUUUUAUGAAUUUUAUUAAUAUUUAAUUUAAAUUUAAAA
rnacentral:rRNA from 1 species